GGACUAUGAACACCGGCGGAGGAAUAUGGAGUGGGUGGAGAGCGUUUGAGCUGUUGCAGUGAUGAUGCAGACAAAGCAGGUGCCGGAAACCGGAAGAAAGAGAACCUGCCAAAAAAGGGUUUGGCAACCAAACUCCUGGAGGGCCUCAGGGUUUCUUUUCACCUCAUCACUAACCCAUUCAGUCCCAAGAAACCAGUCAAAGCAAUGGGGGGAAGCUCACCCCGAACACCACCAAUGUGUAGGACCCAUCUGAAGGAAGGCUGCCAUUUUGCACCAGAACAAUUAAUACACAUCAGCU